AUCCGGCUGACGAGUCCCAAAUAGGACGAAACGCGCGUCCUGGNN
rnacentral:hammerhead_ribozyme from 1 species